rnacentral:rRNA from 1 species
GACGAACGCUGGCGGCGUGCUUAACACAUGCAAGUCGAACGGAAAGGCCCUGCUUUUGUGGGGUGCUCGAGUGGCGAACGGGUGAGUAACCCGUGAGUAACCUGCCCUUGACUUUGGGCUAACUUUAGGACACUGGGGCUAAUACCGGAUAGGAGCUCCUGCUGCAUGGUGGGGGUUGGAAAGUUUCGGCGGUUGGGGAUGGACUCGCGGCUUAUCAGCUUGUUGGUGGGGUAGUGGCUUACCAAGGCUUUGACGGGUAGCCGGCCUGAGCGGGGGACCGGCCACAUUGGGACGGAGAUAAGGCGCAGACUCCUACGGGAGGCAGCAGUGGGGAAUAUUGCACAAUGGGCGGAAGCCGGAUGCAGCAACGCCGCGUGGGGGAGGACGGCCUUCGGGUUGUAAACCGCUUUCGCCUGUGACGAAGCGUGAGUGACGGUAAUGGGUAAAGAAGCACCGGCUAACUACGUG